AGUCCACUGUGACCUCCUUUGCCUGGCAAAGAAAUAAAGCUGUCUUUUCUACUUCACCCAAAAUUCUACCCUUGAGUCUCAAUUCAGGUAACCAGGUAUGGAGGCCGUGUUUCAGCAACAACUUGAAAUGGAUACUAACUAAAGAUUGGACAGGGCGGAGGCUGUGGAAUAAUGGUUAAGAGUGAGGCUUGCAUCCAUUAUUGUGCUUGAUCCCCGGGUUCCGUGCCUCGAUGGAUCUGUGCCAUGUGGGAGCAUCUUCCCUUUCGGACACUGGGCGUGAGCUGGUGAUUUGCUUUGGCCAACAGUGUGGAAGCAGUGACCAUCUUAGUUCUCAAAGGCUUUGUGCAUUUUCAUUCUCUUCUGGAACCUUCCUACCAUCCUGAGGACAGACUCAGGAUAGCCUGUGGAGGACGUGAGACCAUCCUAGGCCAGGCAAGGAAAGCUGACCCGUGGCCACAAACACAUGACUGAGCCCAGCCGAGAUGAGCCGGCCCAAGUCAGCAGAACCACCCAGCCGACCUGCAGUAAUUAUUGUAAUUAUUGUAAGCCGGUAAGGUGUGGUCACGGUUUCCUUUGUAUCUACUGUUUGAACGCAGACAUCUGUUCCACAGGGAUGCAGGUGCCCACCCAGAGCAAGGGGAGCUCGGAUGAUUCCAAAGGAGGAAGCCCUUACAAUCUCACUCUGGAGGCAGCAGGUGCCAGGGACCCACUGAAUAACUGGAGUUUCCCCAGUUAAAGUCUUUGUGGAAUAUAAUGUUUUUUAAAGGAUAAGUUAUAAAAAUAUGCUAAUUUGAA